rnacentral:lncRNA from 1 species
GCGGCCGCUGGCGACACUAGGCGCACUGAAGCCCGAGCCGAGCCGAGCCCGAGCCGCCGCCGCCGCCGCCGCUGCUGCGCACCGCUCCCGGGCUCCCUCCCAGCGCGCCGGCCGGGGUGUGGGGGGCGGCGGGCCGGAGGGGCGAGGGCGGGCCAGGGGGCGCACACGGGGGUUGGCGCGGAAGACAGGACCCUCAGCCUCGAGGGAGCCCCUAGGUGACCAGGCAAAAUGGCAGUUCCUUCCAGCUGGUCCUCAGAUGGGCACAUCUAUUAGCCUCUGCUCUUGUAAGAAGUUAGCUGCAGAACCCACAUGUGAAUCCUUGUAGGACUCUGGAGAAGAUCAAAUGGGAGCUUAGAUGUGGAAGCUCUUUGGAAACCAAGAAACACUCUGAAAAUGAAAAGGGAACAGUUUGUGGACUUGCGCUGGCCCUUGGACCACACUUCGAGUGACAUUGUUAUAGAUGACACGGUCUCUUAUAGGAAAAUGCACAGUCUUUCUUAGAUUCUCUACCUCCCUCUUCCAUCUCAUUCCCAACAUAGAUCUGGGUACAUGAGUGGGGUCUUAUUAUAAUCUUGUGACACCCUUGGAUCAUGCACUACCCUCUAAAUAAUCAAUAGUUUCUACUAUAGAGAGGCUCAAUUUAUCUUCUCCCUGGAAUUGGGACCACUGAAAUAUAACUAGAACCCAACUGAUCUUUUGAGAUGUUGUGUGCUUGCCCUUACUGCUACUGCCGUAGUUCUGAACAUUUCCCCAAGCAUCAAAAAGGCCCCAUGGCCUCUUUUCCCCUAGACCUCUGCCAGUCCACCAACACUCUCAGUGGGGAAGUAAGAAGCCUGGUGGAUCCUGCUUCCCACACAAAGGCCAUGAUGAGACAGAUGCUUUCUAAGUCCGAUAUAUCUACCCACUUUCUGCUGUCACCUCUGUACCUCCUGAGUCACAUGGAAUGUGGUGCUGAGCCAAAUGGUCAGUCUUCUAGAAGCAGUGGAAUGUUGGAGGCAGCUUAUACCUUAGCUGAUUCUUAAAUUUUCAGGAAUUUUGUGAGCCAGUUUUUAAACACAGCCAUUGUUGAAAAUUAAACAAUAUAAACUUAUAAUCAAAUAUAUUAAAAAUAAAGAUAAU